GAGUACCUCAUCUGCGCUGGAAUCAAUGGAUCACAGCUCGAACAAACCCUGGACAUUGACAGUCCCUCUGAAGCUCUGUGCAAUUUUACCAUCACUGAGCAUGCCUGUUCCUCGGCAAGACACCUCACAUCCAGCAACUUGGCCACACUGCUGACGUGCUCGCUGGAAAGCCAAAGGGCACCCCCGGUAGAGGUCUGGAAGCUUCUCUUCCAAAAAACUACUCCUGAACUAGACCAGGCUCUUGUGACAUUCGCCAACACGGCCCCCAACAACAGCAACCCAACCCUGUCACAUGCUCUUGAGGCUCUUGGAGAGGUGGUUUUUGACAACGUCAGUCAGGCACAACUGCAGAGUGUUGACUUUGUCAGCAGCUGGUUCCAGACAAGGAUUGGUCCGUUUUUGGCCUCUUCGUCAACCAACUUCCUCUUCUGCCUUAGCACCAAGGACUUCAGCUGCCAGACGUACCAGAUUGUCAUCCAGGCAUUCAGCAGCCAAAGGCCUUCCAUGGACAGAGAAAGUCAGC